rnacentral:rRNA from 1 species
AGCAGCCGCGGUAAUUCCAGCUCCAAUAGCGUAUAUUAAAGUUGUUGCAGUUAAAAAGCUCGUAGUUGAAUUUCGGGAUCAAUAUUUCGGUCAUGCCGUUGGUAUGCACUGUUAUCAUUGAUUUCUCACCUUCUAAAGAACCGUAAUGCCAUUAAUUUGGUGUUACGGGGAAUUAGGACUGUUACCUUGAAAAAUUAGAGUGUUUAAAGCAGGCUCACGCUUGAAUACAUUAGCAUGGAAUAAUGAAAUAGGACAUCCGAUUCUAUUUUGUUGGUUUCUAGGAUCGAUGUAAUGAUUAAUAGGGAUAGUUGGGGGCAUUAGUAUUCAAUUGUCAGAGGUGAAAUUCUUGGAUUUAUUGAAGACUAACUACUGCGAAAGCAUUUGCCAAGGAUGUUUUCAUUAAUCAAGAACGAAAGUUAGGGGAUCGAAGACGAUCAGAUACCGUCGUAGUCUUAACCAUAAACUAUGCCGACUAGGGAUCGGAUGAUGUUAAUUUUUUAAUGACUCAUUCGGCGUCCG